rnacentral:rRNA from 1 species
GACGAACGCUGGCGGCGUGCUUAACACAUGCAAGUCGUACGGUAAGGCCCUUUCGGGGGUCCAUGAGUGGCGAACGGGUGCGUAACACGUGAGUAACCUGCCCACACUUUUGUGAUAUCGCUAGGAACCUGGUGCUAAUUCCGCUUAUGUGCUCUUGCUGCAUCGUGGGGGUUCGAGAGCUCUGGCGGCGGUGGAUGGGUUGGCGGCCUAUUGGCUUGUUGGUGGGGUAGUGGGCUACCAAGGCGCCGGCGGGUAGCUGGCCAGAGGGGGUGAGCGGCCACACUGAGACUGAGGGACGGCACAGACUGCGAAGGGAGGCAAAAGGGGGGAAGAUUGAACAAGGGGCGCAAGGCUGGUGCAGCAAGGCCGCGGGCGGGAUGGCGGCCUUCGGGUUGUAAAACACUUGCAGCAGGGAAGAAGCUUUUUGUGACGGUACCUGCAGAAGAAGCACCGGCUAACUACGUG